AGACAACGAUGUGUUUUCUCAAGAUGAUAACGGAUCUAGCUUCGCCAUCAAUAAGUAUGAGACAAAGGAGUCCAUCUUUGAUGAAACAUCCAUUUGCCUGUUGUACAUUUUUGCAGGACAACCAGCCUGAGCACAAGAGACAUGGUGUACUAGACUUUGUGCGGAAUGUCUACUUCAAAACUUGCAUCUUUAUAUCUGAUAUAUAGAGAUAUAGAGAUAUAGAGAUAUAGAGAGAGGCUGAUGAUUUAUAAACACAAACGAUAAGACUUGUAACAUGAAGUUUGUCGAAAAAGUCAAUCUUUAAAUUCCUUUCUGAACCUCUCUGUUAUGUCAGUGCUUCGGUAUUAUGUUUUAAUGCAGUCACUUGAGGCGUUGUCCUAAUAGGUGCAAAGUUACCGUAUAUUUAGGUUUCAUGUUUGUGAUUACUGGAGAACGACUGUGAAGAGACCAACCGUAUCGUGUUUUUUCCAAUUGUGAUCUUCCAAUGCUUAAUAAAUACGAAAUCUUAUUUCGAUUUACAGGCUGGGCAUUCACGAAACAUAGCGUUUUUACAUUUCUACAGGCACACUAUAAACAACUUGCAAUAUCUGCCAUCACUUUAUUUCUCCAACUUUGUUCAAGUUAAAAGUGGCAGAAAGUGUUUCCCGAUAUGAGAUAACCCAACGCAUAUGUUGUUGCAAAAACUAAACGCCCAUUCAUCAAGCGAGUCGAGAUGAGAGGAAUCAUUGUAUAAAAGGCUAGCAUGUAAAAGCUGGAAGAAGGAAAGAACACGGGAUAUGUAAUGGAACAUGGGAAAUUGAUAUGGACAUUGAUAUGGACCUUGAUAUGGACAUUGAUAUGAACAUGAAUAUGGUAUAGAGAACUACAUCGACACAGAAAAGAAAACAAAAGUUGCUAAAAUGACAAAGGUGCCGAAUCAACAGGCCAUAGUACCGAUGGAAUCCAAAUACAAUCCAAGAAUCAUUCAAACAUCGCAAACAUCUUUGCUCGACAUUGUUGUUUUGAACAACUACUAAGAGUUGCAAAUGUGAAAGCAACAACAUUCAACGUAUCUACAAAUUUCUCGCUGUUUUGCAUAUACAUUUCUAUUUAAUAGUGAAUUAGCGUAUAAGAAAGAAAUGGAGCUUUUUUGGAUUACAAGUGAUAAGAGUAGGUGUAGGAGUAGGACUCAUUUAUUGAAUCUGGUGAUUUGCGUCGGAAGGUUGAGAAUAUAAAGAGCGUGUGAAACUAAGCCAUGUAAUCUAAAACUUUACCGAAACUUUCAGAUCUCGCCUAUUUACCGAUCCAAUUGCUAGUGCAGUAAUAGUUGCUUGAAUUUUCACCGGAUGAAUCUUCUCUUGAAUAAAACCGCCAAUAAGAGCUAGUCAAGUUGACUACUGAAAAUAUACGAUAUUGAAGAUGGCGUAUGUAGUGCUUGUAAUGGUCUGGUGGAUGGUGGAAGCUUUCCACUCUUACUUAGCAUUCAGUAUUACACAAAUGGAUUAAGGAGAAGCGGUAAACGAUUUUAUGAGGUUCGUUUAUUAUAAUGGGUUGAGUGACACGAUUCAAAUUGAGUCAAAAUAUUUUUCGAAGAUAAUCCGCCAAUUUUCUAUAACUCAUAUAUUAAUGCAUUCGUUCAAAUGAUAUUAAUACAUACGUGUAAAUAAGGGACAAAUAGGUAUAAAAAACACGGCGAUAAGAAAUGGAAUUAAUAUUUUGCAACAUGACAACUAGACAUUAUUUCGUCCGUAAACUUUAAUAGUCCACGACAACAAAGCGACAAUAGCAGUCGUUUAUUAUUUGGUCUUCAUUAUGUCAACAAGCUAUUUGAAGGGAUUUAUGUAAAGUAUGUAUUU